UGUACUUUGCGGCCAAUGGAUUUUCGUUUUGAAAUGAGAAAACCAAAAUCGGGAAACGAGCUGUUUCCCGAUUACCAUAUAGAGAUAGGAAAACAAAAAUCUGAAAAUGACCCAUUUUCCGAAUUUUGUUUUGAUAAUAGAAAACGGAAAACGGUAAAACGACCAGUUAUCUGAUUUUCUUUGAUGUGCUUAAACAUUGACAUCGGGAAUUAAAAUACUGCGUGGAAAUCUUCUUUCUCAAUUUUGCGAAGAUUUUGUGUUGUGACCCGGAAGUUCCUCUCACAAGCUUAACCGUUACAUUGCAUGGAAUGGAAAUGGAGAGCUUCAUAUUGUUUCGCGGACCCAAACGGCUGACUAUGAAGCAAGAGGACAUGUCUGCAGACAAAAUUUGCAGGAUUUUUCAGGUGAUGUUACUUUUCAACUUAUAAUUGACACUUUUAUCCAUUGCAAAAAAAAUGCUCACACAGUUCACAGCGCCUUAGCUUGGUGGCAUGUCAUUCUACGACAGGUAGAAUGAGUUAAUGUUAGCAUAGCCGCGGCUAUUUUUUGAGCGCAAAAUAGUUUUUUGACUUCCCACAUGCAAUUUUACAAACGGUAACAUUAACAUUUUGAUUUUAACAUUAACUCAUUUGUUGGAGAGACUAGUGAUGUACUAGUAGUGGUAAUAAUACUAGUUGACAUGACAUAACUGUUUAGGGAUGUUCUCUCAACUAGAUUGAUUAGUUAGCAUAGUUCGCUAAAUAUCUAACUGCCAGGGCUCGCAAAUAUCUAGCCACUCCUUCAUCCACAAUGCCGUGUGAAAGACGUUGUUGUCACUUGUCAGUCACAGGACACAUGGUGCUAAAGAAGCCGUCAGCUUUACUAUCAGGGAAUGUGAACAAGGUAGUUUGCCACACCAGCUGGCGAAAGGAAGACUAUAUUGUGUCAUGGUGUGGUCAAUGGUUGUUUGACAAUAAAGAGACAUUUUCAACCAUCCACUAAAACAAUGGCUAAGAAGCCCAAAUCAUUUCUGUUUGAUUUGAAAAGAUAAGAAACAUUUGUAUUCAACCAAACAAUAGCUAAAAAGCCCGAAUUCUUUUUGGGAUGAUGAUAUAUUAAUGUUCCAUAUGGAAAAGCAAAGAGAACUGCUAAAGACUUGGCGCUCUGAGAUUCUUCUGAACAAACUUCUGAAGAGUGCGUUACAAAUAAAAUUAAUUAUUAUUAAAGAACUGCUGAGUUGCAGCACCAUUGUUUUAGUUUUUCAUUAAUGAAAAAAGAAAACAUGUUAAAUGUAUAUAUCCGUCUUUUGUCAUGAUUAAUAUACAGAGAAAAUCGGUAAUAUGUGAUAAAUCAUGAUUAAUCCACAGAUUAAUCCACACUUUUUUUUUUUAUCAUUUCACAGCCCUAAUAUAUAUAUGAAUUGUUUUAAGUAUGUUGACCUGUGAUGUAUAUUUGUUAUGGAAACACGGGAUUAGUAGUAUUUGUACUAUUUAAUUACAAUGUUUUUUAAUCCUUUAUGGUAUUUUUCAUUUAAUUCUAUUAAACAGGUCAGUUGCAGCAGUCUUUAUAUCACGGACGACUCCAACACGGCAAUAUUUCCAGAGCCAGCAGGCCAUUUUUCAAUAAUUAAUCUAACUAAUCGCAGUCAUUAUGAGGUCCACGGCGAUGCAGAGCACCUUCCACCCGCUGCUGGUGCCCCUGCUUUUGGGUUCAUGCGCCGACCCUCACCGGCUUCUGCUUCUGCCACAUCUUUUUCUGCGUCUGGUUUUUCCACUGAAACACCACCACCACCACCACGAGCUGGAACUCCACGAGCUAGUGGAGCUAGCUUGUUCCAGGGAAGAUCAUUCCAAAGGUCAAUCCAUCUGGCAGAAAUUGUUAAUGAGAAACUCAGUCCUUCCAGGACAGUAGUUGUGCGCUUUUUGGAAGCUGAGGCCUGCGUUGAACGAAUUUCGGCCAAAGUUCAAGAUGCCGUGGGCUCUGAUGAGCCUAUUACCUUGACGGACACCCAAGGAAACGAAAUAAUGGACUCUGAGGGCACAAGAAGUAAGUUGUAUGAUCAGAAACUUGCUUCUAAUUUGUGGUUUCUAAUAAACCUUAAUGUUGAUUUUAAAGGAGUCAUUGAUUGCAAAAAACAAAUUUACCUUGUCACAGUUGAUUAACGACAGUUCAGUGGGUAAAAUGUACAUACAAUGAACCCUUAAAGUCCAUUGACACUUCUUUCAUAUGCAAAUCUCACAAUUAGAAACCGGUAGGUAUGUAAAGCAGGAUUUGCUAAGAAGAUGUAGCUGAAAAGGUGCUGUUCUGACCCUUUGUUCAUUACAACCGCAAGCUGUAGUAUUAUGUUGUUGCUAACGUAUCCUCCCUGUUUCUAUUAUCGGUAGAUGUGAUGGUUUAGUUUAUUGGCAAUGUGGCUAACGUUAUUUCAUGUCCCUGACUGUGUUUCAUUCAAAUAAAUAACACGUGUUUGUUUACAGCCCAACCAAUGUUACAUACCCUAUUCGGAGACCGUAAGGAACCGUGUGAAAUACCCCCAAAAAGUCAAUGACCCCUUUUAAAAACAGAAGUGAAGUUAAUGUUUUCUGACUUCUUAGGUUCCCAGUUCUGGAAACAGAACUCAAGAAAAAUAUAUGCUGUGCCUGAAAGUGACUUUGUGGAGUUUCAGAAUGGGAGAAGAGCUAAAACAAGUCGAAGGGAUGGAGAUUCAAGCCUGCAGGAGGUCCUUGGACGUGUUGACCAGCUGAAGCAAGCCGCCGGGAGUCUCCAAGAGGUCACUAAUUCAAUCAACCAGCUGUCUCAGCUGGCCAAGUCUCAAAAGGAGGAGAUAAUGGCAAAUGUCGGUUUGCAGCCCUUAAAGGAAGCCUUUGCAUGUCUUGUGUGUAAAGGUACGUGUAAGAUAUGUAACAGUAGGUCAUUCUACAGUACAAAACAUAGCCGCCUGCCACCCUCAAGCACUGCGCUGACCAGCUGUCACGGGUGUUCAUCGCCAUCUUCAACAUUCACUCUGCGAUAAAACACACUUCUGAUUGCUUAGUUAAUUUCCUUCUAUAUUGCAACUAACAAUUAAAUGUUAUUUUCUGCAUCAAUUUAUAAUAUAUAUUUUUUUAACCUUGCAGCUGUAAUGGCAGAUCCCAUGUUCGCCACAUGCUGUGAAUCGAUAAUUGGAUGUCGUACCUGUGUGGAGCUGUGGUUAGUCACAUCAGACCACUGCUUGAAAUGCAGGGCAGGAGACUUUGAAAAUAAAAUACAUGAAGUGAAGGGUCUCUCUGCUGCCUUGUCACUUUUCAAGGAGAGAGAAAUUGAUUUGAUUUGAUAGAUAAUUGUUUGUUAUUGUUUGUUAUGUUUACAUUACUGGAACUACCUCAGUUUAUUUGUUGGAUGUUAUUAUGGGUACAUGACCAGAAAGAUGUUGUUUGUUGUAAUGUUUAUAUUGUGUGUGACCGUUUUAAAAAAAAGAAAAGAAAAAAAAGACAACUUC